rnacentral:sRNA from 1 species
CUUCUAUAGACAGACUGUAGACAGACUCCUACCAAACCAUUUGUUUUUUCAACGAUUCUAGAAUAUAGAUGUGCAGCAUUCGAAAAUCUUGAAGGAAUAAGGGGUGAAACCACCGUGGAUCAAGCGUCUAGGAACACUUGCCUGUUAGACUAAAUACCUAUUACAUUACAGCUGUCACUCCAAUAUUGACUGGCUUAGUUACAACAGAAGUGUCUAACUCAGUUGUGUGUAUUGCUGUUUCCUGAGACAGAACUCCAUACAUACAUGCAG